GGUUAAGUCAGGCAACGAGCAAGACCCGUGCCCACAGUUGCCAGCAUACCCUCCGGGGUGAUGGGCACACUGUGGGGACCGCCGCUGCUAAAGCGGAGGAAGGUGCGGGCUACGGUAGGUCAGUAUGCCCCGAAUCAUCCGGGCUACACGCGGGCUACAAUGGUUGGGACAAUGGGCACCUACACCGAGAGGUGUUGGUAAUCUCCUAAACCCAGCCUUAGUUCGGAUUGAGGGCUGCAACUCGCCCUCAUGAAGCCGGAAUCCGUAGUAAUCGCGUAUCAAUAUCACGCGGUGAACACGUCCCUGCUCCUUGCACA
rnacentral:rRNA from 1 species